GAUGAACGCUGGCGGCGUGCUUAACACAUACAAGUCGAACGGAAAGGCCGAAGCUUGGUGCGGUACUCGAGUGGCGAACGGGUGAGUAACACGUGGGUGAAAUGCACUGUACUUCGGGAUAAGCUUGGGAAACUGGGUCUAAUACCGGAUAUGACGAUCUCUUGGAUGGGGUUGUGGAAAGCUUUUGCGGUAUGGGAUGAGCUCGCGGCCUAUCAGCUUGUUGGUGGGGUAAUGGCCUACCAAGGCGUCGCCGGGGAGCCGGCCUGAGAGGGUGUACGGCCACAUUGGGACUGAGAUACGGCCCAGACUCCUACGGGAGGCAGCAGUGGGGAAUAUUGCACAAUGGGCGCAAGCCUGAUGCAGCGACGCCGCGUGGGGGAUGACCCCCUUCGGGUUGUAAACUCCUUUCGCAAUCGACGAAGCCUUUUGGUGACGGUAGGUUGAGAAGAAGCACCGGCUAACUACGUG
rnacentral:rRNA from 1 species